AAGGAUCAUUAAUGAAUCGUCGGGACCUCCAACAUAGGUCCCCGAGAUCAAACYUCCCCGAGUACCCAUCCAUGUUGCUUCCCUAGGCCAGCAGCCAUUGCUGCCCGUCCGACCCUGCCCGGUCACAGGACGGAGGUGCCUGGGGAGGGGCCCAAACCAAAAAGGAAACUAUGGUGCACACAGGCUGUCUGAGUUGGUGGGCCACGUGUCCAGUGAAUUGAGCAAGUUAAAACUUUCAACAACGGAUCUCUUGGCUCUCGCAUCGAUGAAGAACGCAGCGAAACGCGAUAAGUAAUGUGAAUUGCAGAAUUCAGUGAAUCAUCGAAUCUUUGAACGCACAUUGCGCCCUUUGGCAUUCCUUAGGGCAUGCCUGUUCGAGCGUCACUAGCAACCUCCUCACGGAUCCCGUGGUAAUGGCGGAAGCUUUCGCUGUUGUCCCUUGGACAGCGGUGCAGCUCCGCUGAAAUGAAUAAGCAGGACAAAAACAGGCCCCGGCGAGCGACUUAGUAAGUGUCGUGAAGACGUAGACCAGUCAGCAGCCCAGGCCUUGCCCUGCCCACCCAGAUCUCCCCCGUCUGGCGUGCUCUCUUGGWUGACCU
rnacentral:rRNA from 1 species